CUCAAAGUAAAGGUUGUCAACUAAUUUCCAUGAAAAUAACUUUUGUAUAAUGAUUUAGUUUUUUAAGGAAUAACAUAUUUCUUAGGACAAUGUCCAUAGGAACUACUUAUAGGAGAGGAUCUGAGCCUAUGCCUUGUUUGGGUUUGGAACCCCAACUGAUAUAGAAAUAAAAGAGAUGGAAACUAAUAUACCAUUCCUUAGAUGUGGGUAGCAGGGCCUAGACCAAGAAUACAGAAAGUGUGAAUGGCAAAGGCAAGUUAAAUAGUUGGUAAGUUGAUGCCAUUUGUUCAAAUGUCCAUGGUCAAUGUCAACCAUGCAAUUCAAGUCACCACAGAACAUCAGAGAACUUACUAUCACAGCACACCCUGAAAGUGACUAUCAUAAGCAAAUGCCAUAACUCGUGUCACAGGUUUAAAUAGAGGCUCCUCAAUGAUGAAUGAUUUGACGUCUUAACUGGGAUCUGCUGGGCAGCAAACCCUGUCUCCACUACUUCCUUCUUAUAGGCUUUAUAAAGGCUAAGCCUGCUGGUGCCAGGAUUGACUUAUUGGCUAAAAGAGAUCAACUGAACUAGCAUCUUGGCUCAGGAGAGCUAACAUAAGUACGAGAUUCCACUGCCAGGAGCCAAUGUCAAUGUCAGGAUCCUAUCUUGACAACCAAAAGAGGCCACACUCUGCUAAACAAAUGGCCUUUACAUUGAUUGAAGUUGAUGUUCUGAUCCUGACUAGACUUCUGAUCCUGACUUGUACUGAGAACACCUACUCUACUCUGAAUUGCAUUGAACCCAUCCUGAUUUAUCCUAUCAACCUGCUUUAUUUCCAAUCUGCUUACUAUCAAGAAGCUUGGGGACAAAAUCUGAUCUUCAAAACCAACUUGCUCUAUUCUAAACUGGACUUUAAUACCUUAUUAUUUUGUUUUAAAUCUACCGAACACCUACCGAAACCUACGCAACCAACCUGGAUAAUACAAACAUUUAUCCUGAACGAUCCUGUUACAACUAUCUGAAAUCUGCAGUACUACCUCCAAACCAAAGAGGCUGAUCACCUUAAUGUCUAACUGACCUGUAUUUCUUAAACCUUUUAUAUUCAGUUUAGUGCUGUCUAGUUAUAUUUUCUUUACAUGUAACCUAUACUUUCAUUUAUAGGUUUUCCUUCUCUUUAUUUACCUAUAAUUUCACUUAUAGGAGAUAUUGAAAAUCAUGAUGGAUAAAUCAUCCCAGAGAUAACCAUAGGCUCCUAAUCUGGUGUUAUAAUGCUCGGGAGAACCAAUAAUAAAACCACAGACACUUCGUUUGUAGUUCUAAAUUACCUCUAUCUUUAAUGGGAGAGCAUUGCAUAUAUAAAAUGGUAUUAGUCUACUGCGCAUGUGUCAAAGCAACAAUGACUUACUUGAAGAAAGUGUUAUCUAAGCUAUGCAAGGUUAACAAAAAGUAAAAGUAAGAUUUAACAUGAGAGAGAGAAG